GCAGCACAGGGGCUGCGUGCUGGUGGCAGCAGCCUGCCUGCAGCUGCUAUUUUUGUGGAGCAGCCCUUUUCCAUCAGAUGGCUGUACGUGUACCCAUCCGUCUGAUAAGCGUAGGCAGAAUCAAGCUAUCACCAAUGGAAUAAUUAAUCUCAUUUUCAGCUCGCUCCCUGCUGAGGUGUGAGAAGUGCCCAGGGAAGAGGGUGGCUGAGAUGACACUGCAGGAACUGGUCUGUUGGUGAUGGUUUGCCCUUGGCAGCUGUCUUCCCACACGCUCUCCUGACCUGGAAGCAGAGCGGUUUCACAGCAGCAUAAAAAAGAAGUGUUGAGAGCUGCUCUUAACCCUUUUGGAGUCCGAAGUCAAAAGGUAAAAUCAAAUGCUACUUUUUGGGUUUCUACAGGUGUUGAUACCGUAAUUGUUUGGAAAUGCUAUUUCCCUAUCACAUUUGAACUGAGAUUUCCCACAGGAGAAAAGCAGGGGUACGAUAAGAAGACUCAAAACAUUAGUAGAUCUCUUUAAGAGCACCAACAUAUCUGGGCUUAAAUUAUGCAGGUAAGUUACAACUGGUAAACUGCAAUUAUCUAUUUUACUUAAUAUAAAAACAUUGGCGUUAGGAGUCAGUGGGACUUUCAGUAGGGUUUAAUAUUGCUACGG
rnacentral:lncRNA from 1 species